rnacentral:rRNA from 1 species
UAAGUUUAAAGGGCCGCGGUAUUUUGACCGUGCAAAGGUAGCAUAAUCACUAGUUUUUUAAUUGGAAUCUCGUAUGAAUGGCUGGACAAAAGAAAGUCUGUCUCUAUAAUAAUUAUUGAAUUUAACUUUUAAGUGAAAAGGCUUAAAUAAUUUGAAAAGACGAUAAGACCCUAUAAAGCAUUUUAUUGGGGCGAUAGAGGUAGAAUUAAUAACUGCUUAGAUUUUAUGACAGUAUAAGUGAAAAGAUCCUAAAUAAAGAUUAAAAGGUUAAGUUACUUUAGGGAUAACAGCGUAAUUCUUUUUGAGAGUUCUUAUCGAAAGAAGAGUUUGCGACCUCGAUGUUGAAUUAAAAGUUCUUUACAAUUGUAGGAGUUGUAAAAGAAGGUCUGUUCGACCUUUAAAUUUUU